GCGGGCUGCUUCCACCAUGGGCUGGACUCCUCUUCUCCUUCUGUUCCUCUCUUACUGCUCAGCAUGGUCUGUGUUUGCAGUUUCCUUCUCUCAGGAUCUGGUAACUCAGGAACCUUCACUGUCUGCAUCUCCUGGAGCAGCUGCCAGACUUACUUGUACCUUGAGAAGUGACAUCAGUGUUGGGGGAAAAAACUUGUACUGGUACCAGCAGAAGCCAGGGAGCCCUCCCAGGUUUCUCCUAUACUACUACUCAGACUCAGAUAAGCAACUGGGUUCUGGCUUCCCCAACCGCUUCUCUGGUUCAAAAGACACUUCAGCCAAUGCAGGCAUUUUGCAUAUUUCUGGGCUGCAGCCUGAGGAUGAGGCUGACUAUUACUGUAGCAUCUGGCACAGCACUGCUUAUCACAGUGACACCCGUGGAUGGAGAAGUGGCACAAAAACUGUAAUGUGCUCUGUGAACUAG